AGUACAUGGGGUUGAUGAUUGAAUGUAUUCCACACUUUCUGUGCAUGGUUAUAAGAAUCAUCUGAGAUAUUCUCAUCAGUAAGAAUACUAUAAAAGUCUUUUUUUGAAGAUAUGACAUUCAUCAGCUUUUUAAAUUCUUCUUCAUCAUCAGAGGUCAU